UUUCAUUUCCUCCCGCUUCAAUCCAUUGUUCCCAUCGUCUUCACCCAACCAGGAAGACGAUCGAACCCAACCACGGAACCUGGUCUUCUGUUGCGAACCACGAACCACCACGAACCAGGGGAGCCCUGUCGUCUUCACGGAACCACUUGGUCUUCUGGGGCGAAGCACGAACCACGGAGCCCUCUCGUCUUCUCGUCUUCAUCGAACCACGGAGGUCUUCUACAGCGAACCACAAACGGCGGAGCCCUCUCGUCUUCACCGAACCACGGAGGUCUUCUGGUUCUAACCACGGAACCCAAGGAGCCCUGUUGUCUUCAAACACGAAGCCCUGUCAAAUGUGAAGCCCAAGCCCGAAAACUCGAACCCUAACCCUAACCCUAACCCGAACCCGAACCCUAACUCUCUCUUCAAAACCAGUUGCUCCUUUACCAAACUUUCUCUGUUUUGCUGGGUUUGUGAUGGCGCGUGGAAGAAAGAAGCGGGAUUUGCAGGAAGGAUGUGGUCCUAAGGGGGAAGGAGUAGUUGGAGAAGCAGUUGAGCCUCUGACGAAGAAGGAUGCUGGGGCUUCGGUGGAGAAGGCCGAGAACGGGGAUGCUUUUGUUAAUGGAGGUGGGGUUUCUAUGGGAAGUGGGCCAAGGACUCGGGGGGUGAAGAGGCUGAACUAUGCUGAAAUCAUGGGCGAAGAUGAUGGUGAGGUUUUGGUGAAGAAGCGUCGGAGGAAGAAAAGCAAGCUAUCUACUGGUGAAGAUUAUGUUGUUCAGAAGAAUGAGAAGGUUGAGGAUAACAAUGGGUUGGCGUCAGAACAAAUUUUAGAUUACGCAGAUAAGCAGAGGAUACUGGAUAGGCCAAUAAAGAAGCGUGGGAGGAAGAGAAAGAACUUAUCGGCCGAGAAAGGCCAUGGAGAAAGUUGUGGUGCUCAGCAGGAUGAGAAAGUUCAGGAAAUUAAUGGGUUCGAUCCAGGGCAAGGCAUUGAUGGCAAUGCAAAUAAGGGGAAGAUGCGGGGAAGGCCAAAGAAGAAGCUUGGUAGAGUUGGAGUUGCAAACAAGGUUACCAAGGAGGCGGUUUUGGAAAACAAAAAGAAGAAAAAUGGGGCAGAGAGGAAGGAUUUUUGUGGAAGGAACAGUAGGACAGGUUAUUCAUUGAGGGCUACAGAAGUUCCGAACCAAGAUAUUGCUAAAAUAAAUAAAUAUGAUAAAUGGAUCGAAGAGGAGUCCUUAAUGUGUCAUCAAUGUCAGAGGAAUGAUAAAGGCGAGGUUGUUCGGUGCAAGAGUUGUAAGAGAAAACGAUAUUGUGUACCUUGCCUAAAAAGAUGGUAUCCAAAUAUGGAGAAGGAUGCUGUUGCAGAGGCUUGUCCAGUGUGUCGUGGAAAUUGCAAUUGCAAGGCAUGCUUACGAUUGGACGUGCCUGUUAAGAAUUUGAAGAACCUAGAAUUUACUGUCAGUGAAGACGAGCAGUUUGAGCACUAUAAAUAUGUGCUGCAAACAAUGCUUCCAAUUUUGAAGCAACUUAAUGAAGAACAAAUGACUGAAAAGGAAAUGGAGGCCAAAAGACAAGGGAUAUUGCAUCCGCUUUUAGAGAUAAAGCAAGUAGAUUGCCCUAUUGACGAACGUAUGUAUUGUGACAACUGCAAGACUUCCAUAUAUGAUUUUCACAGAAGUUGUCCUAGAUGUUCCUAUGAUCUUUGCCUUAUCUGUUGCCGGGAGAUUCGUGAUGAAAACAUCUGGGGAGUUGAUGAAGAAGUGAUUAUGAAGUAUAUUGACCGUGGCUUUGACUAUAUGCAUGGUGGAGAGAGUAAGGAAGUGAAAUUACCUGCUGAGACGUGCCCUGUGGAUCAUAUGAAGUCAAAAUCUGGGUGGAAAUCAAAAGAAGAUGGUAGCAUUCCUUGCCCCUCAAAAGACAUGGGUGGUUGUGGUCUGGGAAUUCUAGAAUUGCGAUGUGUUUUUUCGGAAAAUUUCAUUUCAGACUUGGUCAAAAAAGCAGAAGAAAUAGCCAGAAGUUGCAAACUUAUGGAUGUGGCUGCAACAUCUUUACAACGGUGUUUGUGCUUCAACUCUGUGGGAGAAGUCGACUUCAGCAAUGAUAGGUUACGAAAAGCGGCGUCUCGAGAAGAUUCUGAUGACAACUAUUUGUAUUGCCCGAGGGCCCAAGAUAUACACCAGGGGGAUUUGAAACAUUUCCAGUGGCAUUGGAGCAGAGCUGAGCCCAUACUUGUCAGUAAUGUGCUUGAAUCUGCAUCUGGUUUAAGUUGGGAACCAGAGGUCAUGUGGCGUGCAGUCCGUCAGUUGAAACAUGCCAAACAUGAUAGGGAGUUGGAAGUUAAGGCUAUUGAUUGCUUGGAUUGGUGUGAGUGCAAUAUCAAUAUCCACCAGUUCUUUACAUGGUAUAUGCAUGGUCGUGUUGAUCAGCGCUUGUGGCCCUUGAUACUAAAACUGAAAGACUGGCCUCCAUCUAAUUUGUUUGAGGAACGCUUGCCACGUCAUGGUGCUGAGUUCAUCUGUUGCUUGCCCUUUAAGGAAUAUACACAUCCACGCAAGGGUCUUUUAAAUAUUGCAGUCAACUUGCCUGAGAAAUCUCUUAAGCCAGAUAUGGGCCCCAAGACUUAUAUUGCUUAUGGAAUUCCUCAGGAGCUUGGCCGUGGGGACUCUGUCACUAAGCUUCACUGCGACAUGUCUGAUGCGGUAAAUGUUUUGACACAUACUGCCAAGCCGACCCUUAAAGCUGAGACACUCGAGAGUAUAGAGAAGUUGAAAAGGAAGCACUUUGAGCAAGACCAAAAAGAAAUCUUUGGGGAUUUUCUGCCUGUGGAUGAAAAGGUCAAGAUUAACAUUUCUGGCGGUGGGUCUUGUACACUUACUGCUAAUGAUAAAGAAUUUAGCGGUGAACCCGGGGAUCAGAACACCUCUGUAACCGUUACAGAACCAGCUAAUCAUGUUGCUCAACUCGCUGGUGAGUCAAGGAUGGAUGGGGCAGGCUUUUCAAGGGGCUCAGUGCUGGAAAAGACUGAAGUGCCAAAAGUGGAUGAAGCUAACAAUGGUGGGAGUUUUCUUACAAGUUCUGGAAAUAAUUUGGAUGGGUUAGAAGCUUCUAAGAGUGGUGCCCUUUGGGACAUCUUCCGAAGACAAGACAGUCCUAAGCUGCAGGAGUAUCUUAAGAAGCAUUUCCGGGAAUUCAGGCACAUCCAUUGUUGUCCAUUGCCACAGGUUGUUCACCCUAUACACGACCAGACCUUUUAUCUGACUGUGGAGCACAAGAGAAAGCUCAAGGAUGAGUAUGGAAUUGAACCAUGGACAUUUGUCCAAAAUCUUGGGGAUGCUGUCUUCAUUCCUGCUGGCUGUCCGCAUCAAGUCAGAAACCUAGAGUCAUGCAUAAAGGUCGCACUAGACUUUGUCUCACCUGAAAAUGUUGGUGAGUGCAUACGUUUGACAGAGGAAUUCCGUACACUUCCCCGUAAUCAUAGGGCCAAGGAGGACAAGUUGGAGGUGAAGAAAAUGACUGUUCAUGCUCUGAGCCAGGUUGUUGAAAGUUUAGAGCAGAAGCCAAGGUGACUAUUUUCUGCCUCGAGAUUCAGAACUUGUUCAACUUCAUUGGUCAAAAACGGAAGUGUCUCGCUGUUUUGCAUGCUCGAUUUUCAGAUGACUAUUUUCUGCCUCGAGAUUCAGAGUUCGUUCAACUUCAAUAUUGUUGGAGCAUUGUUGGCAACUGUUGAAGGACCAGUUGAAAUGGAUUCAGCGUUACACAAAGGAUGAGAUGAUAAAGUGAAGGUCAAUGAUGUCUCUGACAUAUUCGUGUACCUCAGCAGUUGCACCUGAUUCACCUAUGGAUUCAGUUGGCGGUACAGAGGUCGAGAAUGUAAUGAAUAAUAAUGUCAUCAAAUUGGAUAGGCUAAUGUGAAGAAAAACUGAGAACGGAAAACGUAAGGCCCAAUGCAGGCAUGAGAUGACCUUGUAGAGCUAUGCAAGUGUAAGUAUACUCUCCUAGAGGAAUCACAUGCUCAGGAAAAAGAAUUUUUUCAACUCAAGACCGAAAAGAUGACAUAUGAUCGAGAAACGGAGGGAAAUAAAAGUAGACAAGAGGACAAGAGAUUGAGGCUGGAGGCGGAGAAAUUGGAAAUCGCCCCGUGGGAGACAGAGGAAUGCAUAAUGUUGCUUGAUUUGAGUAUGUUGCCUGGAGUUCAGGAGGUAUAUUUCCAGCAACUUCAAAUGAAGAUAUUGGCGAGACGCAAUGCAUCAGAAAAUUGAGGUUAUAUUUUUUUUGGAACUUAUUUUUUUAUUCAGUAUUCGAGCAUUUGUAUUUUAUGAUUGGCACAUUAGUAUAACUUGUUUGACUGUUGAGACUGAUGUUCAGAGUUUUUUUCAAGGAUU